UUGCUAUGGCAGCACAUAUACUAACAAUGGAAUGAUACAUAGAAGGUUAGUAUGGCCCCUGUGUAGGGAUGAAUUUGUGAAGCAUUCCAUAUUUUU
ensembl:snRNA U6 U6 spliceosomal RNA